UACGAAGGGGGCUAGCGUUGCUCGGAAUUACUGGGCGUAAAGCGCACGUAGGCGGCUUUCUAAGUCGGGGGUGAAAUCCUGGAGCUCAACUCCAGAACUGCCUUUGAUACUGGCAAUCUAGAGUCCGGAAGAGGUAAGUGGAACUCCUAGUGUAGAGGUGGAAUUCGUAGAUAUUAGGGAAGAACACCAGUGGCGAAGGCGGCUUACUGGUCCGGUACUGACGCUGAGGUGCGAAAGCGUGGGGAGCAAACAGG
rnacentral:rRNA from 1 species